GACGCCCGCUUUCUUCUUUCUUAACACAUGCAAGUCGUACGGUAAGGCCCUUUCGGGGGUCCACGAGUGGCGAACGGGUGAGUAACACGUGAGUAACCUGCCCACAACUUUGGGAUAACGCUAGGAAACUGGUGCUAAUACUGGAUAUGUGCUCCUGCUGCAUGGUGGGGGUUGGAAAGCUCCGGCGGUUGUGGAUGGACUCGCGGCCUAUCAGCUUGUUGGUGGGGUAGUGGCCUACCAAGGCGGCGACGGGUAGCCGGCCUGAGAGGGUGACCGGCCACAUUGGGACUGAGAUACGGCCCAGACUCCUACGGGAGGCAGCAGUGGGGAAUAUUGCACAAUGGGCGCAAGCCUGAUGCAGCAACGCCGCGUGCGGGAUGACGGCCUUCGGGUUGUAAACCGCUUUCAGCAGGGACGAAGCUUUUUGUGACGGUACCUGCAGAAGAAGCACCGGCUAACUACGUG
rnacentral:rRNA from 1 species